rnacentral:rRNA from 1 species
UACAGGGGGGGCAAGCGUUGUUCGGAAUUACUGGGCGUAAAGGGCUCGUAGGUGGCCAACUAAGUCAGACGUGAAAUCCCUCAGCUUAACUGGGGAACUGCGUCUGAUACUGGAUGGCUUGAGUUUGGGAGAGGGAUGCGGAAUUCCAGGUGUAGCGGUGAAAUGCGUAGAUAUCUGGAGGAACACCGGUGGCGAAGGCAGCCCCCUGGGGUAACACUGACGCUCAUGCACGAAAGCGUGGGGAGCAAACAGG